AUUGAACGCUGGCGGCAGGCUUAACACAUGCAAGUCGAGCGAGCGGCGGACGGGUGAGUAAUGUCUGGGCAACUGCCUGAUGGAGGGGGAUAACUACUGGAAACGGUAGCUAAUACCGCAUACCAUCAGUUGUGCCCAGAUGGGAUUAGCUAGUAGGUGGGGUAAUGGCUCACCUGGGCGACGAUCCCUCGCUGUUCUGAGCGGAUGACCAGCCACACUGGAAUGGAGACACGGGCCAGACUCCUAGGGGAGGCGGAAGUGGGGAAUAUUGGACAAUGGGCGAAAGCCUGAUGAAGCAAUGCGGGGUGUGUGAAGAGGGCCUUCGGGUUGUAAAGCACUUUCAGCGAGGAGGCGUUACUCGCAGAGGAAGCACCGGCUAACUCCGUGCCAGCAGCCGCGGUAAUUC
rnacentral:rRNA from 1 species